rnacentral:piRNA from 1 species
GAAACAUACUUUGGCCCUGAAACUAGAG